GACGAACGCUGGCGGCGUGCCUAAUACAUGCAAGUAGAACGCUGAAGAGAGGAGCUUGCUCUUCUUGGAUGAGUUGCGAACGGGUGAGUAACGCGUAGGUAACCUGCCUUGUAGCGGGGGAUAACUAUUGGAAACGAUAGCUAAUACCGCAUAACAAUGGAUGACACAUGUCAUUUAUUUGAAAGGGGCAAUUGCUCCACUACAAGAUGGACCUGCGUUGUAUUAGCUAGUAGGUGAGGUAAUGGCUCACCUAGGCGACGAUACAUAGCCGACCUGAGAGGGUGAUCGGCCACACUGGGACUGAGACACGGCCCAGACUCCUACGGGAGGCAGCAGUAGUGAAUCUUCGGCAAUGGGGGCAACCCUGACCGAGCAACGCCGCGUGAGUGAAGAAGGUUUUCGGAUCGUAAAGCUCUGUUGUAAGUCAAGAACGGGUGUGAGAGUGGAAAGUUCACACUGUGACGGUAGCUUACCAGAAAGGGACGGCUAACUACGUG
rnacentral:rRNA from 1 species